AAGCUCCAUGUCCUACCCAGACUAGCCUCACCUACAAACUGUAGUAGCUCACAGGCAGUUUGUAGCCAUUCAGGUGAGUGUCCUGUAUCUGUAUGACUUUUAAGUUUUAUUGAAGCUCUUCAGUCAAUUCACCAGUGACCUUGAGAGAUCCUCUCAGAUGUGCUGGCAAUUGUGUAGUUGAUGCAUUUCCAUACAAGGCACUAAACCCUUACAUAUUGGAAAAGUCAUUUGGUCUGUCAGAACUUGCAUGGAAAAAUACAAAUAUUUCAUAAGGACAAGUGGGCAGAUUAUUCUCAGGGUAUUGAUUCCACAUUUUGGUUUGCUGAAAACCUGCUGCUAAAUAGACCUCCCCACUGGAGAGACUGAGCAACAUGGUCAUUUCAGGGAGAGACUCUGGGGAUUUAUUGAUUGGACGUGAGAAUACUAAUCAUGAAAUAGCAUAGAUUGAACAUGCUUUUGUGACUACCAUUUGCAUAUAAAGGUAACAUUUCAAUAUUAGGAAGGGAAGACAUUUCAGAACAUUAACAGUAGCUGUCUCAGAUCGAGUCAUAUUCCUUUACCACUUCUUCAGGCUUCUCAUUUUCCAGGGUCUAGAGAACUGGGACAAUACACAUAUAAUGCUGUCUGUAACAAGUAAGUUAUCAAAUACAUUUGCUAUAUUGGACAGAUACUGAAAAUGAAACUCCUAUCUCCAGCAAACCUAGAGAGUAAUGUUUUCUCUCCCAAACUUACUGGAAAACUGUAUACAUUUUGGGUUUUGAAAUAGCUUUCUGUUUGCUUCUUGUAAUCAAGAAGUUAAUUCAAUUAAUUUCAAUCAAUUUUUGUAAUCAAACACUUUAAACUUGCCUUCCUCUUUACAUAUUAAUUUUGUCAGAUUGAAGUAUUAAAAAAACAAAAAUGAGGAAGCCCUUAAAAUUUUGAGCAAGACUACACUGUUAUAUAGUUUAUCAUAUUUGUAUAUUUUGCCCUUUAUCUUUCUGUUGCGUUAGGGGUUUUUUUGUUUGUUGGGUUUGGGUUUUUUUUUUACUUUGCUUUUUUAGAGUAGCUCAUCAAAGAUAGAACGUGUAUCUUCUUAGGCACUUGCUAGUCCUCUGCUUUGUCAGUGGACCCCCAGGCAUCUCCAGUGGCAGCCCCAACAAAAGGAUUGCAAGCUAUCUGCAGAGGACAGGCAGUUACAUAGGCCUAAAUGGGCUUGGAGGACUUAUGUCUGUGUAUUUUAUCUGGCUUGGGGCAUUUCUCCCUUGUUGGCCACGCCAGCCACCCUGUGAAUUUCAGAGGUCAAGGUGAAGAAAAUAGGCACCUCGUUUGAAACCUGGACCCCAACAAAGCAUUCACUACCUUUUCAGAAGUAUCUAGAUGUAAAGGCUGAGACAAAUAAUAUUUUAGGUUUGUUUGUGCUAGUGAUGUAGGCUAGACCCAAUGAAAGGUCUAAUCUAUGCUUCCAUGCACAAGUGGAUGCAAACUGCACUAAUUCAGUGCAGAACACAGAAUGCUGGAGUUUUCUGUGCUGCUGUACAUUUGGGUAUGUCAAAAGCAACCAGUAUGAAGACACUGCACUUUAAGUAACUCCUGAAGUGUAGUACAGCUUUGUUUAUUAAGGUAGAAAUCAGAAUGGCCCAGACUGAACUCUUCUACUUUAGGUGCAAAUCCCUCUGAUUACGGGCUGAUGGUAUGUUAUACCUUGUGCCUGCUGUUCUCAGUUCCCUGCAGAUGGGAUUCAACAAGGUACCUCAAGCACCAAUAACAUGAAGUACUUUACUAAAUAGGGUCCUGAAAGACAUCAGACCCUUAAAAGCCAGUUUGGCCUGCUGAGAGAUGAGCAACUUCACUCCACAUCUGAUGAGAGGAUCCAAAUUGUCAGUUCAGUGGGAGAAUCUUUCUAUUGUAGGGAUGAAAAGCUCAGGGGAUCUCACUCAUGCUCAGUGGUCUUGUAAUUAAAUGUUACACACUUGAUGAGCAUUACACUGCAAGCCUCAAGGCUAAUUUACAUGUUACCACCAAAAUGUCUUAUUUUAUUUUGCUUGUAAAAAUACUGUGCAGGCAUCAUUGCAUGUCAUUGCAAAUGGUUUGUUAUCAAUGAUGCUUGGGUGACUCAAAAUUACUAAAAGCUGUACAUAAUUACUGCUAAAAAGCCCCAUACAGAACCAAUAGUACUUCCUCUACAGUAGAUAUUUUAUGACUAAGAAGGCUUUCCUGAUGUGACUGACAAUGUUAGGAUCACAAACAAGUAGCCUGCCAGCAAAUAAAGAAUAGCAUUUUGGGGAAACAAAGUAGUUUGAUUCAAUUAUAGUACUACAUGUAUCAUUAAAGCGUAUGUUGCUUUUCUGGGAGUUGUCCAUUAAUUGAAAAUAGGAAGGCAGAGUGGGAGGAAAGAGAGAAAAAUGAAAAUAGGUGGGAGCUUCUUGUAAGCAUGGUGAUAGGUAUGAUGUCAAUAUGAGAUAUUUACUGGCAUAUUUUAAUGCUUUAUGUUGUAAAAGUUGCUUUUACUGAUUUGGGCCACAUGACUCAUGUCACUCUUUACACAAGAUAAGGGAAAGGAGACGAAGUUUCUCAAGACUCUGGGAUCCAUUUAGCACAUACUCCUGUAUCAGCUUCUUGGUCGGAGGAGGUCAUUCCACAAGAAGCAUUUCAGUGCACACGUAUCAGAUGGACUGAACGGCCGUUUCUUACAAUUCUCUAUUUCUUUUUUACUUGACUGACUUCAAAGCAAUGCUAAAGCACUGCAAUCGUUUAUUGGAAUAUAUUAAUAAUAAUAAAUUAUGGUUUCAUUCACUGAAUUCCAGUUCUUAGAAGAAUAAACAACCUUGUGCAGAUGCAGAAGAAAGGCAGAGAAAUAUUAGAUGACUUACCCACAGUCUGCAGCAGGUGAGUGAAAGAAUUAGAUACAGAACCUCUGGCCUCUGGCCUUUCUUUCAAAUAAUCUUUCCUGUGUUUGUGCCACAGUAAAAUGAUUUUGCAUAUGUCCUGUCUCAGAAAUAUGAAAAAUAUAUGCAAUAUGCAAAGCAGCCAAUUGGGCUGCCUUUUGGAAUAUAUCAUCAUUUAUGAACGGUGCAUCUUGAAGCCUAAACAGAUUGUGUGCAAUUAAUUGCAAACUGUCAAAGAGACUACAGCACUUUACUGCCAAUUUGUAAAUAAAACCUACUAUGCAAAAGGACGGAGGCAAGUGAGGUGAGUUUCUCUGGAUAAAGGAAAGGCAAUGCACAAAUGCAGUGCAACACAAUUUUUACACUCCAGCCUUUAAGAAUUUUGCUGACCCUGUAAAAAAAUGGUGUGGUGCAGAGUCAUUGAAUGCAGGUAAGCUUCUCCGUAGGUAAACAUUUUACAUAACCUAAAUGAAGAACUCCCAGCUUACUUGACAAAAGAAUAAAGAAGUCACCAUGUGCAAAAAGAAAAACGUUCUUUUUAGUAAAAUCUUGGAAAAAUACAUGAGCAUUUUUGUACCCUAAAGAUGUGCUGAACAAUGGUGAUGAUGAUGUGCAAACAAAGCAGAUUCCCUUUAUGUCCCAAUUAUGACCCUCAAAUGAUCUUUGUUAUAAAUAUACUCAUCCUGGUGACUGGCCAAUACCUGACUGGAUUCCUUAUCCAGUGCUUUGUAUCACUGCUGUUACCAUCCUACAGCUCAUUGUUCCCCUCAUAAUAUUCAAUAAAUACAAUAUGUUUGGUGCCACUGCUGAUCUGCUGAGCCAGUCAGUGGCCAGCCCAGUGACUCAGUCUUGAUCUCAGCUUCAGAAGAAAAAUGAUGAUGCCUGUCUUUCUAGGUUUGAACCCCCCUCCGGUGAACAGCAUCACAAAUGUGAUACAGACCCUCAGUAAUUACUGAAACAGCAGUUUGUCACAAGCUGCCUGCAGCACUGAUGGACAAUCUGCUUGUGGAUAUAGUUAGAGGAAGGAAUGUGUAAGAAAAUAUGAUAUUUGUGACAGGCUUAACUUGGAUUUUUUGUUUCAGGGGAUGAAAUGUACAUGUGGAGGCAGUGUUGAUGAAGAACUAGUGCUGGAGAUUGCUCGCGUUUCACCAGAAAAGGCUCUCCAGUCCGCAGCUCUCGGAUUUUCCCUCUCGUGUCACUCAAGCAAACUGCCCUGAGCUUCCCUGCUGCCGAGGUCGGAGCAGAGCCACCGCAGCCCUCUGGCCCCCGCCGGGAGCCCGGCACACCAGCACCCGCUCGGAGCCCCGGAGCUGCGGGAGCACAGACACACACACAGACACACACACACACAUACAUACACGAGCUGGGCUCCCCAGCGCUGCCGAGAGCCAAAUGGGAUUUUGCCUGAAUGAGUACUGGGGGGUGGGUGCUCGUUCAGAGCCACAAACAACUCCUUAAAAUACCACGAGUGCUCAGAAGAUGGAAAUUUGCUAUAUUAUGAUUUCAGAAAGCAGCAGAUGAACACUGGACAUAAUGUCAAGUCCUCCUCCCCGCUCUGAACAGCUCACUCAAACCCACUGAGCCUUCUGAACAAUCCAGCUUCAGCCCUUGACUGUUUUCAUUACAUUAUUUUGAUGCACUGUGAUGAAUGCAAGAGAUCACUAUACAUUAAAAGCAGAGUUCAAUAACCAGUAUGGAACAGUGUCCAUAUGCUGGCUGACAGCUUUACCCUACAGUUACUGGGCUAGUAGUUUUCAGCCAAAAGUCAGGAGAAUUUGGUACUCAGUUUUGCCCUCCCAUUCCCCUCUCUCUGCCACUGAAGUAAUCUGAAGUAAUAAUUUUCAACUGAAUAUUUUCAAGUGUUAUCUGUAUCUGUAGUUGCCAGUAAGAGCUCAGCCCUGUUCCUCUUACCACCAGCUCUGCAGAUGCUCCUGGAAAGUGGGCAGGAGACCUCUACCACCCCUGGCUAUUCCCAGCAGGACUCUGAAGUGUUCCAGCUCUGGUGAGGUACCAGUGUGUGGUGAGGAGCACUGAUGCUCUCCUGGGAUACCACCAUAGAGAAAUAACUGCAGCAAGAAUUGUCCCAGUAGAAGUUCAAAGAUCUUAAGUCUGUGACAAGAAAAACAAAUCAAGCUCCUGACCUUGGCAUCAUCGCUCACUUAGGAAUUUUUUGUACCUGAAAGAAAAUCUGCUGAUAUCCCAUGCAAGUAAUAAAUCACCUCACGUCAUCAGUAAAUACAGCUGUAAAACAGACAUCUCAAGAGCACUUCACUGCUGACUGUCUAAAGUAGAUGCGUGGUACUUUGAUCCUCCCUGAGGAGGCUCCUGAUGCCAUUGGUUCCCGCUACAUCCCGUCCCCUCAGAGCCAGCCAGUACCAACCCACGGGCAAACUCGGAUACUUCGCAGACACUCUGAGUAACUUUACAGACGCACAUUUAACUUAGCAGGGCAGUAACAUGAAGAAAGUUUUAUUUAAAGCAGUUUUCAGAAAGAGAGAUCGAUUUCCCAGGCAAAAACUUAUGAACCCCACAGUCGAACAGCACAGCAAAAUAAACUAAAGCCGUUACCAAAAUUCAUAAUGAUUUGCAGAGAAGCCCAGUUUUGGAUGAUAUUCAGUUUCCCAGAGAGGAUGCUACAAACUCCAUGUAAGUUUCUAUCUCUGAACAUAAGUUUUAACUUUAGAAACAGAUCUGCCAGUUAGAAAAUUACUUUGUUCCAGUCGUUUGUUUCUAACGGUUCAUCGGUAAAUUUCUUCAUUUACAAUACCGGGUGAUGAUCUUUUUUGACAGCACAUCCAGAACGAACAGUGGUCAGAUGUCCACAGAGACAAAGCAAUCUUUGCACUUUGGGAAACAACGACAGCCCUACAGCCGCGCUCCGGGCUGGACCCAUCCGUGGGCAGGGCACGUAGUGACUUUCUCUAACAGCGGGGCGCUCUGCCGGCCAGGAAAGGCUCUGGACGCUGUCAAGAGUUUUUUGUUCGGGAAGCCUUGCGGUCUGUUCCUCCCCGGGAUGCGAACGAGACGGCUGAAGGAGACAGCGGAGCCUGGACACCCCGGGGAGGGGGACCCGUGGCGUCCCAUCCCUCGGUGCACUCUCC